AAUCAACGCUGGCGGCGUGCCUCAGACAUGCAAGUCGAACGAUUAAAGCUCCCUUCGGGGAGUGCAUAGAGUGGCGCACGGGUGAGUAACACGUAAGUAAUCUACCUUCGAGUGGGGAAUAACGUCCGGAAACGGACGCUAAUACCGCAUAAUGCAGCGGCAUCGCAAGAUGACAGUUGUUAAAGAUUUAUCGCUUGAAGAGGAGCUUGCGGCAGAUUAGCUAGUUGGUAAGGUAAUGGCUUACCAAGGCUACGAUCUGUAACCGGUCUUAGAGGACGGUCGGUCACACUGACACUGAAUAACGGGUCAGACUCCUACGGGAGGCAGCAGUCGGGAAUUUUGGGCAAUGGGCGAAAGCCUGACCCUGCAGCGCCGCGUGAAGGAUGAAGUAUUUCGGUAUGUAAACUUCGAAAGAAUGGGAAGAAUCAAUGACGGUACCAUUUAUAAGGUCCGGCUAACUACGUGCCAGCCGCCGCAGUAA
rnacentral:rRNA from 1 species